rnacentral:lncRNA from 1 species
UCACUUUUCUUCUCAUCAAUCAGCAUGUUCACAUUGAUGAUAGAUGUGCACUUUUCUAUUGUAAAAUCAUUUGAAACAUAGUCUUCCUUUUGGAAUCUUCAGUGCAUGUUUUGUUAAACCUAUGUUUCUCUUUUUCUUCAGUGUCUAUAAUAGAUUCACGUUUCUAUCUUGUUUCUGUCCUAACUGCCCCCCAAACAGAACAGCAAACCCUAACAUGUUAUUGCCAAAGCCAAGCAUUAGGAUUCCACACAGUACUAACUCUACAUAAACGUAUACCUGGCUUUCUUAUUUAUAGACAAUUGAUUAUAUGUCCCUUUUGCCUUUUAGAUUCUCCUGAAAAAUAUCCUUGCUUGAAGUUGGAUUGGAAAAUUCUGUUCCUAAUGAGACAGUAGGAAUGAAGGAUUUACAAACGUCCAGAUCAGGUGAAAAAAAUAUCAGCAUGGAAUAUUUCUUCUGGGGAUAGAACAACAUAAUAUCGCAUACAGGCCAAGACAAGAGAAUUCUCAACUAUGUCACAUGAACUGUGCUGAAUGGCUAGGAUCAGGAUGAGGCCUUUGACUGGAAGUAGUUUCAAGAAAUAGGCCCCAUGGAAGCUGCACUGGAGUGAAUAUUCCUUAGAGAAUAUUUACUGGGAAAAGCAGUAGAGUGCUGGAUGAUAAAUGAAGAGGAACAUGGAGUUCAGUGGGGUUUUCUUUCUUUUUUUAUGGUAAGAUGGGUGUAUUUAGGGUAUUUUUGUAUGUUGAAAAUAAUCCAGUAGAGGACAUGUUUCUUCAAUUCAGUCGUGUUUGCAUUUCCC